GGUGUGGGUGGACAUCGACCCCAUCCGUGCCGAAGCUAACGCAUUAAGCACCCCGCCUGGGGAGUACGGCCGCAAGGCUAAAACUCAAAGGAAUUGACGGGGCCCCGCACAAGCGGCGGAGCAUGCGGCUUAAUUCGAUGCGACGCGAAGAACCUUACCUGGGUUUGACAUGCAGGGUGAAACCCGUGAAAACGGGCGCUCUUCGGAGCCUGCACAGGUGGUGCAUGGCUGUCGUCAGCUCGUGCCGUGAGGUGUUGCCUUAAGUGGCGCAACGAGCGCAACCCCUGUCCUUAGUUGCCAGCGGAUCAUGCCGGGAACUCUAGGGAGACUGCCGGUGCCAAACCGGAGGAAGGUGGGGAUGACGUCAAGUCAGCAUGCCCCUUAUAUCCCAGGGCUGCACGCAUGCUACAAUGCGCGGUACAGAGGGCGGCGAUCCCGCAAGGGGGAGCGAAUCCCAAAAAGCCGCGCUCAGUUCGGAUCGAGGUCUGCAACCCGACCUCGUGAAGUCGGAGUCG
rnacentral:rRNA from 1 species